rnacentral:piRNA from 1 species
UGAACCAAUGAUUUUUGUUGGGGUUGCUAAA